rnacentral:rRNA from 1 species
CCGGAUUUAUUGGGUUUAAAGGGAGCGUAGGCUGGAUAUUAAGUGUGUUGUGAAAUGUAGACGCUCAACGUCUGACUUGCAGCGCAUACUGGUUUCCUUGAGUACGCACAACGUUGGCGGAAUUCGUCGUGUAGCGGUGAAAUGCUUAGAUAUGACGAAGAACUCCGAUUGCGAAGGCAGCUGACGGGAGCGCAACUGACGCUUAAGCUCGAAGGUGCGGGUAUCAAACAGGAUUAGAUACCCUGGUAGUCCGCACAGUAAACGAUGGAUGCCCGCUGUUGGUACCUGGUAUCAGCGGCUAAGCGAAAGCAUUAAGCAUCCCACCUGGGGAGUACGCCGGCAACGGUGAAACUCAAAGGAAUUGACGGGGGCCCGCACAAGCGGAGGAACAUGUGGUUUAAUUCGAUGAUACGCGAGGAACCUUACCCGGGAUUGAAAUGUAGAUGACCGCUCCUGAAAGGGAGUUUUCCUUCGGGACAUCUAUGUAGGUGCUGCAUGGUUGUCGUCAGCUCGUGCCGUGAGGUGUCGGCUUAAGUGCCAUAACGAGCGCAACCCCUCUCUUCAGUUGCCAUCAGGUGAUGCUGGGCACUCUGGAGACACUGCCACCGUAAGGUGUGAGGAAGGUGGGGAUGACGUCAAAUCAGCACGGCCCUUACGUCCGGGGCUACACACGUGUUACAAUGGUGGGGACAAAGGGCAGCUACCUGGCGACAGGAUGCGAAUCUCCAAACCCCAUCACAGUUCGGAUCGGAGUCUGCAACUCGACUCCGUGAAGCUGGAUUCGCUAGUAAUCGCGCAUCAGCCAUGGCGCGGUGAAUACGUUCCCGGGCCUUGUACACACCGCCCGUCAAGCCAUGGGAGUCUGGAGUACCUAAAGUCCGUAACCGCGAGGGUCGGCCUAGGGUAAUACAGGUGACUGGGGCUAAGUCGUAACAAGGUAGCCGUACCGGAAGGUGCGGCUG